UGCUUUUUGAUAUUUCAUAAAAAGUAAUUCCUGCCCAGUGAACCUAUUCAACGGCCGCGGUAUCCUAACUGUGCAAAGGUAGCAUAAUCACUUGCCCAUUAAUUGUGGGCUAGAAUGAACGGAUCAACGAAAUAAAACCUGUCUCUGUAAACUUUUUAUAAAUUAAAAUCUAACUGAAGAUUGUUAGAUACUGCUGAAGGACAAGAAGACCCUAUAGAGCUUAAUUUUAAAUUGUACUAAAGUCAAUCUAAAAAUUCGGUUGGGGCGACCAGGGAAAUUAAUAAUCAUCCCCUAAUCAAAGAUUUAUUAAUCUAUAAAUAAGACCCUACUAUGAUCUAAAGAACAAGCUACCUUAGGGAUAACAGGCUAAUCCUACUAAAGAGUCCUUAUCUAUAGUGGGGGUUGGCACCUCGAUGUUGGCUUAGGGAAUCUAUAUAAUGCAAAAGUUAUAUGAAGAUGGUUUGUUCAACCAAUAAUACCCU
rnacentral:rRNA from 1 species